ensembl:snRNA U6 U6 spliceosomal RNA
GCGCUCACUUCAGCAGCACAUAUUCCAAAAUUGGAACAAUUCAGAGAAGAUUCGAAUGGCCCCUGUGCAAGGAUGACAUGCAAGUACGUGAAGCGUACUUGUAUUUC